AAAGAAUUAGUGUAAAGAGCCCUCAAAUUCACAGACAGGUAUGUCAGACCUACCUGUAGACAGAAUGCACAUUAUUAUCGUAUAUGAGUGGUUAGAACUUUAAAACUUAUUUUUCAUACUAUUGUGACAUCAUUGUUUGUGAAAGGACCACAGAACUCAGGGUGCUUUUUUGUAACUUAGGGUUUUUAAAUUUGGGAAAUUUUCUCUUAUUAAACAUUUUUAAAGAGAGAGACAGAGAUUGAGAAUUAGGCCCAUCAAUCACAAAAGGGAGAAUCUCCGUUCAUCCUCAAGAGGACUAGAAACCACCCAUGCAGCCCACCUUCUCCUCUGUAAACGAGGAACCUGAGGGUCGGGGGGGGGGGGGAGACCAGCUCAAGGUCAAACAGCUAGUUAGAAGCCAGGCCUGGGUGAAGACCUGAGUCUCCUGACUUUCUUCCCUCUGUGAACAAAAUGGUCAACCACUAGCCCACUCCUCCGUCUCCUCAGUUGUAGAAACACUAUCAGAUCUGUCUUUCGAGACUCUUCUUCCCCAGACACCACCAGGGAAGGUGGGGAGGCUGCGCUUACCCUUGGGGCAGGCCGGCGUGCUGCAGAACUCAGUGCUGUACUGCCCUGCCUUGAAGACGUAGCACCAGGGCCUUGAGUCUCUGUCUGGGUUCCUGAAAAAGCAGCCAGGGAAGUCCAGAGGAGGUGAAAAGGGAAGUCUCCCUCUCAGACCCAAGGCCUUUGCAUCCUCUUCUGGAGAAAAGGUGCUGUGGUGAAGAGACCGCUAUGGUUAACAGCCGCAAUCAGUCGACUCUGAGUAAAGAUCAUCCUCCAUCUGUGGGCAGCCUCAUCCAAUCUGCGGGAGGCCUUAUGAGCAAAAGCUGAGAAGAAAUUCUGCCUCAAGACUGUGCUGUCAAAGCCUGUCUGAGCGCCCAGCUCGCUGGCCUGCCUACAGAUGUGAGACUUGCCACCCCCCACAAUUGGGUGAGCCAAUUCCUUAUAAUAAAUUCCUGUAUGUGUA